AUUGAACGCUGGCGGCAGGCCUAACACAUGCAAGUCGAGCGAGAGGCGGACGGGUGAGUAAUGUCUGGGAACCUGCCUGAUGGAGGGGGAUAACUACUGGAAACGGUAGCUAAUACCGCAUACCAUCAGAUGUGCCCAGAUGGGAUUAGCUAGUUGGUGGGGUAAUGGCUCACCUAGGCGACGAUCCCUAGCUGGUCUGAGAGGAUGACCAGCACCACGGGAACUGAGACACGGUCCGGACUCCUACGGGAGGCAGCAGUGGGGAAUAUUGCACAAUGGGCGCAAGCCUGAUGCAGCCAUGCCGCGUGUGUGAAGAAGGCCUUCGGGUUGAAAAGUACUUUCAGCGGGGAGGCGUUACUCGCAGAAGAAGCACCGGCUAACUCCGUGCCAGCAGCCGCGGUAAUAC
rnacentral:rRNA from 1 species